rnacentral:rRNA from 1 species
CCUACGGGAGGCAGCAGUGAGGAAUAUUGGUCAAUGGCCGGAAGGCUGAACCAGCCAUGCCGCGUGAAGGUCAGUGCCCUAUGGGCGUUAAACUUCUUUUGUGCGGGAGCAAUAAUGGUCACGUGUGGCCAGACGAGAGUACCGUACGAAUAAGCAUCGGCUAAACCCGUUCCAGCAGCCGCGGUAAUACGGGGGAUGCAAGCGUUAUCCGGAUUUAUUGGGUUUAAAGGGUGCGUAGGCUGGGAGGUAAGUCAGCGGUGAAAUGCCCCCGCUCAACGGGGUGAAGUGCCAUUGAUACUGCCUGGCUGGAAUGCGGAUGCCGUGGGAGGAAUGUGUGGUGUAGCGGUGAAAUGCAUAGAUAUCACACAGAACACCGAUUGCGAAGGCAUCUCACGAAUCCGCGAUUGACGCUGAUGCACGAAAGCGUGGGUAUCAAACAGGAUUAGAUACCCUAGUAGUC